AGUGAACGCUGGCGGUAGGCCUAACACAUGCAAGUCGAACGGCAGCACAGGAGAGCUUGCUCUCUGGGUGGCGAGUGGCGGACGGGUGAGGAAUACAUCGGAAUCUACUCUGUCGUGGGGGAUAACGUAGGGAAACUUACGCUAAUACCGCAUACGACCUACGGGUGAAAGCAGGGGACCUUCGGGCCUUGCGCGAUUGAAUGAGCCGAUGUCGGAUUAGCUAGUUGGCGGGGUAAAGGCCCACCAAGGCGACGAUCCGUAGCUGGUCUGAGAGGAUGGUCAGCAACACUGGAACUGGGACACGGUCCAGACUCCUGCGGGAGGCAGCAGUGGGGAAUAUUGGACAAGGGGCGCAAGCCUGAUCCAGCCAUACCGCGUGGGUGAAGAAGGCCUUCGGGUUGUAAAGCCCUUUUGUUGGGAAAGAAAUCCAGCUGGCUAAUACCCGGUUGGGAUGACGGUACCCAAAGAAUAAGCACCGGCUAACUUCGUGCCAGCAGCCGCAGUAA
rnacentral:rRNA from 1 species